AUGGCGCGGAUGUCAAACCUUGUGCUCUUCAUACGGUUCCUGCUCAGCCCAGCUCUCGUGCGCAGCUCCAGCCCCCUCCCCCUGGUCCUCAACACUUGGCCUUUUAAGAAUGCAACCGAAGCAGUGUGGAGUACAUUAGCGUCUGGAGGUUCCCCCCUGGAUGCUGUGGAGAGGGGCUGUGCUGUGUGUGAGAGGGAGCAGUGUGAUGGAACUGUCGGCUUUGGAGGAAGUCCUGAUGAGUUUGGAGAAACCACACUAGAUGCCAUGAUCAUGGAUGGCACUACUAUGAAUGUAGGAGUAGUAGAAGAUCUUAGACGAAUUAAAAAUGCUAUUGGUGUGGCAAGAAAAGUACUGGAACAUACAACACACACACUUUUAGUAGGAGAGUCAGCCACCAAGUUUGCCGAAAGUAUGGGGUUUGUCAAUGAGGAUUUAUCUACCAAUACUUCUCAAGUUCUUCAUUCAGACUGGCUUGCUCGGAAUUGCCAGCCAAAUUAUUGGAGGAAUGUUAUACCAGAUGCUUCAAAAUACUAUGGACCUUACAAACCACCGAGUAUCUUAAAGCAAGAUGGUUCUACCUAUAAAGAAACAGGCGAUAAUUAUGGUCAUGAUACUAUUGGCAUGGUUGUAAUCCAUAAGAUGGGACGCACUGCUGCUGGUACAUCUACAAAUGGUAUAAAAUUCAAAAUACAUGGUUGAAUAGGAGAUUCGCCGAUACCUGGAGCUGGGGCCUAUGCUGAUGAUACUGCGGGAGCAGCUGCAGUCACUGGGGAUGGGGACAUACUGAUGCGUUUUCUACCAAGCUACCAAGCUGUAGAAUAUAUGAGAACAGGAGAAAAUCCAACCAUAGCUUGCCAAAAAGUGAUUUCAAGAAUUCAUAAGUACUUUCCGUAGUUUUUUGGGGCUGUUAUAUGUGCCAAUGUGACUGGAAGUUAUGGUGCUGCAUGCAAUAAACUACCAACAUUUACUCAGUUUAGUUUCAUGGUUUAUAAUUCUCAAAAAGAUCAGCCAACUGAGGAAAAAGUAGACUGCAUCUAAUCCAUCUUUUCUGUCAGCAUCUAUAUUUAAA